GGUAGUGUGGCCUAAUGGAUAAGUCGUUGGACUUCUAUGAAAGAAGUUAUCCGAAAAAUGCGGGUUCGAGUCCCGCCACGAUUA
rfam:Daphnia pulex DAPPTscaffold_500_Cont9818, whole genome shotgun sequence.